rnacentral:rRNA from 1 species
CUCAGGACGAACGCUGGCGGCGUGCCUAAUACAUGCAAGUCGAGCGAACUGAUGAAGAGCUUGCUUUUGAUCAGUUAGCGGCGGACGGGUGAGUAACACGUGGGUAACCUGCCUGUAAGACUAGGAUAACUCCGGGAAACCGGGGCUAAUACUGGAUAACUUUUCUCUCCGCAUGGAGAGAGAUUGAAAGAUGGCUUCGGCUAUCACUUACAGAUGGACCCGCGGCGCAUUAGCUAGUUGGUGAGGUAACGGCUCACCAAGGCAACGAUGCGUAGCCGACCUGAGAGGGUGAUCGGCCACAUUGGGACUGAGACACGGCCCAAACUCCUACGGGAGGCAGCAGUAGGGAAUCUUCCGCAAUGGACGAAAGUCUGACGGAGCAACGCCGCGUGAGUGAAGAAGGUCUUCGGAUCGUAAAACUCUGUUGUUAGGGAAGAACAAGUAUCGUUCGAAUAGGGCGGUACCUUGACGGUACCUAACCAGAAAGCCACGGCUAACUACGUGCCAGCAGCCGCGGUAAUACGUAGGUGGCAAGCGUUGUCCGGAAUUAUUGGGCGUAAAGCGCGCGCAGGCGGUCUUUUAAGUCUGAUGUGAAAGCCCACGGCUCAACCGUGGAGGGUCAUUGGAAACUGGAAGACUUGAGUGCAGAAGAGGAGAGUGGAAUUCCACGUGUAGCGGUGAAAUGCGUAGAGAUGUGGAGGAACACCAGUGGCGAAGGCGACUCUCUGGUCUGUAACUGACGCUG